AUUAUAAUGAUGAUACUUUUGAUAGGGACAUCUGAUGUCUAUGAUUGAUUUAUCACUUUUUUUGUAUAACUGAUCCA